rnacentral:lncRNA from 1 species
UUGAAGCACUUAUCAAUUAAGUGUCCAGAUUUUUACUGUAUCUACAAAAUAAAGGUCCCGUGGCUUGGUCAAAAUUGACUCUUUGUUGGUCAAAAUUGACUCUCUGUCUAAAAGGUGGAGGAGGAACAGACACUGUGGCCUAUUAAAUCCAACAGGCUGCCUGUUUGUAUGUACAUUGAAAGAGAUAGAGGCUGCAUCAAAGUGAGAAUAAGACUGAACUUGUCUUUGCUUCUCAUCAUUGAGGACCAUAUUAUAGACAUUGUCAAGAGAAGAUCAAAGUGAGAGGAAGACUGAGCUUGUCUUUGCUUCUCAUCAUUGAGGACCAUAUUAUAAACAUUGUCAAGAGAAGGAGGAGGCUGCAUCACCAAAAGAUUACUCCUGACCCCCAUAUAAGCUUCAUUCAGACCCAUUAAAAACUGAAAGACCUUAUUAUCAUCACAUUCCUGAACUAUGCCAUCUUUUGCAGCACAUACACACCUUUGACCAUGAUUAACACACAUAAAAUCAACUUCAUCCCACAGACCUUUUAGCUUGUUGAAAUAAGAAGCUAUAUCUAAGGACCCUUGAGAUGUGUGGGACAACUCUCUUUUCAGUUCAUAGAUUUUGGUCCUGUUUGCAGUGCCAUAUCUGGCCUGGAGUUGGGACCAUAUGCUUUGUGCAGUGUCAGAGUACUGUACAGACUCAACAAUUGCAGGGGAGAUGGAAGCAGUCAACCAAGAAAUCACCAUGUUGUUGCACCUAUCCCACAACCUUUGUUGAGCCACAUUAGUGGCAGGUCGGGAGUCUCUGUGCAGUGUCAGAGUCCUGCACAGAUUCAGCAAUUGCAGGGGAGAGGGAAGCAGUCAACCAAUAAAUCACCAUGUUGUUGAACCUAUCCCACAACCUUUGUUGAGCCACAUUGGUGGUAGGUAGGGAGUAUGUGCCAUCAACAAAACUGAUUUUGUUUUUGGCUGAUAAGGAAACAAUCAUUUUACGUCUCCAACCCCCAUAACCACUACCCGAGAAGGGAGUGGGAACGAGAGAUACCCCAGGGACAUCAGAAGAA